CCUUUAACACUAUUCACAGACCAGCAUCUCUCUCUCAUCUGUCUUUGCAUCUGUCUGUCUGUCUGUCUCUCUAUUGUUAUCUCCUUUCACAUGACACUACACUCUGUAAAACCCCCGUUGGAGAUGAGGCUGCUUCCUGUUAAAUGAUCCUGGCGUCUGGCAUGUAAAGACAACUGCGAACAAAGUAGUAUGUCCUGCAGUAAAGAUACAUAAAAGUCAUAAAAUACCAGAACAGCGGUUGGGGGGAGGGGGGUUGCAUGUGUAUGAGUGGGAGAAGAGGGUGGUGAGUUUCGCCAUGUGCUGUUUCUCCCCAGAUCUGUUUUUUAAAAGUCACUUCAGGCCCUUUGGCCAAUCUGCACUUAAUUACCUGUUCCUGCCCUAUUUCCCAGGCAGCCAACCAGUGCGGCCAGGCUAUUCCCCAUUCCCUCUGUGAGGCCCGUCUCUGGGGCUCAGCUGAUGCAUUACAAAUGCCUUGUGGACUGCAUCUGAUGGGAUUUUCCCUAAGUGGUCAGGAUGCCAACCACAGUCCUGAUCGUUUUAAAUGGCUUGCGAUCCUCAGAUGUGGAGAUGCUCAUUAGUGGCCGCAGGAGCCCGCUAUCAUGAACAGGUUGAACCAAGGAGCUCUGUCAACCUGAGCAUUAAUAGGAGUAAGCGUGUCAAUAAAAGUUCCCAAGAUGAAGCCAUAGAAUGAGGCACUUAAGGACAAUUAUAAACAUUUUGCCCUGUGGUGACUCUCCCCUAUCAAACCUACUCCUAGCCUGAUAAGCACUGCCUCUUUAGGGAUCAUUAAUUUCCUUGAAAAUUUAAACAGCUGUCACUUGUGAUCCUCCUCAGGUGCUCAUGUGGGAGAGAUUAGACUAUGUUUAUAAGCCAGUCUGUUCAUUAAGCGCCUGCCCAUGUGGAACCCCCUCCACAGGCCUGCAGAUCACCCACAGAUAAUUGGGGGCCAUGGCAAAUUACACAGAGGCGCUGCAGGCAGCAAGAAUGGUGUGGCCUUAUUAAUAUCAGUGUGUGAGAUCUUAGUUCCCCGAUCAGAGAUUGAAUCCAUGCCCCCUGGAUUGGAAGCACAGAAUCUCAACCACUGGACCACCAGGGAAGUCCUGACACCCUAUAUCUUGAAAGAACUGGAUAGAAUCUGUGCCCAGUAUCAAAAGUUAUUAAAGUUGAAAUGCUCAGACUAGAAGAGUAACUGUUACUGGCUUUUCUUCCAUGAGAAAUCAGGCUUAUGAACGAUAAUUUAAAGCCAAAACAAAAGGAAGACUGGCAAAGAAACACAUACCCACUUAGGGACACAUGGAUUGAAUCUGUUCCUGCAUUGGUAGCCAAUUAGGAGCUCUCUUCAUUGCUGCUGCUGCUGCUAAGUCGCUUCAGUCGUGUCCAACUCUGUGCGACCCCACAGACGGCAGCCCACCAGGCUCCCGCCUCCCUGGGAUUCUCCAGGCAAGAAUACUGGAAUAGGUUGCCAUUUCCUUCUCCACUCUUCAUUGCUAUAUACCCC
ensembl:lncRNA